rnacentral:rRNA from 1 species
GACGAACGCUGGCGGCGUGCUUAACACAUGCAAGUCGAACGGAAAGGCCCCCACCUUGGUGGGGGUGCUCGAGUGGCGAACGGGUGAGUAACACGUGGGUGAUCUGCCCUGUACUUCGGGAUAAGCUUGGGAAACUGGGUCUAAUACCGGAUAGGACCAUGGUUUAGUGUCUCAUGGUGGAAAAAUUAUUGUUUUGGUGCAGGAUGAGCUCGCGGCCUAUCAGCUUGUUGGUGGGGUAAUGGCCUACCAAGGCGUCGACGGGUAGCCGGCCUGAGAGGGUGGACGGCCACGUUGGGACUGAGAUACGGCCCAGACUCCUACGGGAGGCAGCAGUGGGGAAUAUUGCACAAUGGGCGCAAGCCUGAUGCAGCGACGCCGCGUGGGGGAUGACGGCCUUCGGGUUGUAAACUCCUUUCGUUAGGGACGAAGCCACACCUUUUUUGGGUGUGGUGACGGUACCUUUGUUAAGAAGCACCGGCUAACUACGUG